rnacentral:piRNA from 1 species
UUGCAGGCCUCAUUCUCACCCUGGGA